rnacentral:rRNA from 2 species
UGGGGAAUAUUGGGCAAUGGGCGAAAGCCUGACCCAGCGACGCCGCGUGCGGGAAGACGGUCUUCGGAUUGUAAACCGCUUUUAUUAGGGACGAUAAUGACGGUACCUAAUGAAUAAGCCACGGCUAACUACGUGCCAGCAGCCGCGGUAAUACGUAGGUGGCAAGCGUUAUCCGGAUUUACUGGGUGUAAAGGGUGUGUAGGCGGGAAGGCAAGUCAGAUGUGAAAACUAUGGGCUCAACUCAUAGCCUGCGUCUGAAACUGUUUUUCUUGAGGGUCGGAGAGGUAACUGGAAUUCCUGGUGUAGCGGUGAAAUGCGUAGAUAUCAGGAGGAACACCGGUGGCGAAGGCGAGUUACUGGACGAUUACUGACGCUGAGACACGAAAGUGUGGGGAGCAAACAGG